rnacentral:rRNA from 1 species
UUGAGGCUGAAAAGCGUAGUCGAUGGGAAACAGGUUAAUAUUCCUGUACUUCUGGUUACUGCGAUGGAGGGACGGAGAAGGCUAGGCCAGCUUGGCGUUGGUUGUCCAAGUUUAAGGUGGUAGGCUGAAAUCUUAGGUAAAUCCGGGGUUUCAAGGCCGAGAGCUGAUGACGAGUCGUCUUUUAGAUGACGAAGUGGUUGAUGCCAUGCUUCCAAGAAAAGCUUCUAAGCUUCAGGUAACCAGGAACCGUACCCCAAACCGACACAGGUGGUCGGGUAGAGAAUACCAAGGCGCUUGAGAGAACUCGGGUGAAGGAACUAGGCAAAAUGGCACCGUAACUUCGGGAGAAGGUGCGCCGGCUAGGGUGAACGAUUUACUCCGUAAGCUCUGGCUGGUCGGAGAUACCAGGCCGCUGCGACUGUUUAUUAAAAACACAGCACUCCGCAAACACGAAAGUGGACGUAUAGGGUGUGACGCCUCCCCGGUGCCGGAAGGUUAAUUGAUGGGGUUAGCGCAAGCGAAGCUCUUGAUCGAAGCCCCGGUAAACGGCGGCCGUAACUAUAACGGUCCUAAGGUAGCGAAAUUCCUUGUCGGGUAAGUUCCGACCUGCACGAAUGGCGUAACGAUGGCGGCGCUGUCUCCACCCGAGACUCAGUGAAAUUGAAAUCGCUGUGAAGAUGCAGUGUAUCCGCGGCUAGACGGAAAGACCCCGUGAACCUUUACUGUAGCUUUGCACUGGACUUUGAGCCUGCUUGUGUAGGAUAGGUGGGAGGCUUUGAAGCGUGGACGCCAGUUCGCGUGGAGCCAUCCUUGAAAUACCACCCUGGCAUGCUUGAGGUUCUAACUCUGGUCCGUAAUCCGGAUCGAGGACAGUGUAUGGUGGGCAGUUUGACUGGGGCGGUCUCCUCCUAAAGAGUAACGGAGGAGUACGAAGGUGCGCUCAGACCGGUCGGAAAUCGGUCGCAGAGUAUAAAGGCAAAAGCGCGCUUGACUGCGGGACAGACACGUCGAGCAGGUACGAAAGUAGGUCUUAGUGAUCCGGUGGUUCUGUAUGGAAGGGCCAUCGCUCAACGGAUAAAGGUACUCCGGGGAUAACAGGCUGAUACCGCCCAAGAGUUCAUAUCGACGGCGGUGUUUGGCACCUCGAUGUCGGCUCAUCACAUCCUGGGGCUGAAGCCGGUCCCAAGGGUAUGGCUGUUCGCCAUUUAAAGUGGUACGCGAGCUGGGUUUAGAACGUCGUGAGACAGUUCGGUCCCUAUCUGCCGUGGACGUUUGUGAUUUGAGAGGGGCUGCUCCUAGUACGAGAGGACCGGAGUGGACGAACCUCUGUGUUCCGGUUGUCACGCCAGUGGCAUUGCCGGGUAGCUAUGUUCGGAAAAGAUAACCGCUGAAAGCAUCUAAGCGGGAAACUUGCCUCAAGAUGAGAUCUCACUGGGAACUUGAUUCCCCUGAAGGGCCGUCGAAGACUACGACGUUGAUAGGCUGGGUGUGUAAGCGUUGUGAGGCGUUGAGCUAACCAGUACUAAUUGCCCGUGAGGCUUGACC